GUGCCCUUAGCUCAGUUGGAUAGAGCAACAGCCUUCUAAGCUGUGGGUCGAAGGUUCGACUCCUUCAGGGCACGCCA
rnacentral:tRNA from 1 species